AACCUACCCUCGAGUGGGGGAUAACUCCGGGAAACCGGAGCUAAUACCGCAUAACAUCUUCGGUCCACAUGAACUGAUGAUCAAAGGAGCAAUUCGCUUGAGGAGGGGGUCGCGGCUGAUUAGCUAGUUGGUAGGGUAAUGGCCUACCAAGGCUUAGAUCGGUAUCCGGCCUGAGAGGGCGCACGGACACACUGGAACUGAAACACGGUCCAGACUCCUACGGGAGGCAGCAGUGGGGAAUUUUGCGCAAUGGGGGAAACCCUGACGCAGCAACGCCGCGUGGAGGAUGAAGUCCCUUGGGACGUAAACUCCUUUCGACCGGGAAGAUACUGACGGUACCGGAUGAAGAAGCACCGGCUAACUCUGUGCCAGCAGCCGCGGUAAUACAGAGGGUGCGAGCGUUGUUCGGAAUUAUUGGGCGUAAAGGGCGCGUAGGCGGCGCGGUAAGUCACCUGUGAAAUCUCCUGGCUCAACUGGGAGCUUGCAGGCGAAACUGCCGU
rnacentral:rRNA from 1 species